GGUAGUUGGUAGCUCAGAGGUAGAGUGCAUGCUUUGUGUUUAUGAUGUCCUGUGUUCAACUCCGAGCUUCUCCCC